rnacentral:rRNA from 1 species
UAGGGAAUCUUCGGCAAUGGACGAAAGUCUGACCGAGCAACGCCGCGUGAGUGAGGAAGGUUUUCGGAUCGUAAAACUCUGUUGGUAGAGAAGAACGUUGGUGAGAGUGGAAAGCUCAUCAAGUGACGGUAACUACCCAGAAAGGGACGGCUAACUACGUGCCGG